UACGUAGGGGGCAAGCGUUGUCCGGAUUCAUUGGGCGUAAAGAGCGUGUAGGCGGCCAGGUAGGUCGGUUGUGAAAACUGGAGGCUCAACCUUCAGAGGUCGACCGAAACCAUCUGGCUAGAGUCCGGGAGAGGAGAGUGGAAUUCCUGGUGUAGCGGUGAAAUGCGUAGAGAUCGGCAGGAACACCCAGGGGGAAACCAGCCGACUGGGCAUCUGCUGACGCUGAGGUGCGAGAGCGUGGGGAGCGAACCGG
rnacentral:rRNA from 1 species